rnacentral:lncRNA from 1 species
GCUGCACGAUUAGAUGAGUCUCGGCCUCCGUGGUGUGCUUUCGCCCGAGAAGAAUUUCGGAAGCUGUGAACAUCAUGGAAACCGUGAAAGCGAAGCGCAAGGAUAGCCAAGAAUCGAUGAAGGUUGGAAAGCAGCACGAUGUACUGCAGCAGAUACUGGAAAACAGGAGGAGGCAGGUUGGGCGGGCUGGAGGGCCGUGUGUUGGACGUCUUGAGCCGCACCGGCCCAGGCUACGCGCCGGUCGAUUUUUU